rnacentral:rRNA from 2 species
GUGACGAUAGCCUAGGAGAUACACCUGUACCCAUGCCGAACACAGAAGUUAAGCCCUAGAACGCCGGAAGUAGUUGGGGGUU